UCUUCAUGGCUGAUCCUGUCAUCUCAGUUCAGGCAUACACUUGAGGAUCAUAACAGAAUAAAUUUAACUGAGUCUGCCAUGGAAUUGCUGACCAACAUGGAAGUGACAGCUGCCAGAACAAAAGAUAAACAAGGGGAAAGCAUUAUGCAAUGACAACAUUUUGUGUAGGAGCAGUCCAUUGCCAUGUGUAAUCUCCA